UAUAAAGUCCGACUGCUAUGCUAUCGAUAGCACCAAGCACUUGGUGCUAUCAAGUUUUCUGCCGUUAGAUUAACCCCUUUGAUUAUUUUUAUCCGUUAGAUUAUACUAUUCAACCAACCACUCACUCAAUCCUAGAGGGCCCAUAUCAUUCUAACCACAUAUUUUUCAAUCCAAGGGCUAAAAAACUAAUAGCACCAAUAGCUUGGUGCUAUUGAUAGUAUUCCAGCCUAAUUAUAUAUAUAUAUAUAGAGAGAGAGAGAGAGAGAGAGAGAGAGAGAGAGAGAGAAUACUAUCGGUAGCAAACGGGCUCCGUUGCUGCCCAUUUGUUUUCGAUGAUAGAGCCUCCAAAUCGAUGAUUGGCACCAUUGAACAUGAUCUAUACCGCUUGAAGUAUCUAGAAAUCAAAUUUCAUGCUUUUUCGAUAUUAUUCUCUUAUCCAUCAUGUCACGCCCCAGAUCCGACUGCUCGGAUCUGAACCGCAACAACCGGCCACGAAUUCAGAGGAAGAACCUCCGAAAACGGAAGGCCUUAAAUUGAUCCAAAGCCACCAUCUCAGUUAAAAACUAAAUAAUUUAUUAAUUAAAACGAAAUUAAACAAUAACUUCUAAAUGUCCAUAUAAUCAAUCUCAUGUCAAAAUAAAUCAUAUGUCCAAAAUUUAAAAUCUAUGUAACAAGUUCUCGCCGGCCAAUUAUCUCACACACCCCGACUCUCGGUACCUGAAACAGUAGACAACAAAAGUAAGCGCAAUGCUUAACAAGAAAUUUACUUCAAGAAUAACGAUAAUUUAAAUUUGAAACUACAAAUGUCAUAAUUUAGAGCAUCUCCACUCCGUCGCUCUAACCGCGAGAGCUACAAUUACGCGUUGUUUCUCCUCGGAAACCGCGUAUCGGAUAAAUCCCUCUCUUCCGAGGAAUCCGACCGCAACAGUCAUAUCCAAUAAUAGAACAUGAGAAUAAUAAUGUGCAAAAUAAAUAAACCAUAUCUGUUAAUAAUAAUUAUAAAAUCCACUCGGAUGUAUCAACAAUUAGUAAACAGAACAGAUAAUAAUUAUGUCCCGAACCCACUCGGAUCCGCAUAUUUUCUACCGUUUGCAGAAAGUAGCUAUUUACUUGCCUCUAUUAGUGCUCACAAAUUCGUCACGUUCUAAGAUUGAGGUUUUACGGCUGUCUCAGCACCUACAACGACGAAAAGACCCAAAUAAAAUAUAUUUUCAAACAAGUCCUUUAACUAUUAAAAAUUCUGCGAAAAUUAUACAUUAAAUCAGGAUAAUUAGACCACACGAUCUUAUCCGUAUUUUCAAGACGAGUCCUAUAGCGCUUGAAUCGCAAAAUUUCGCCUUACGGACAAUCUUUUACGGAUCAGUCCCCAAAACCAAAACUGCUAUUUACAGAUUGGUCCCUGGCUGAUCUUUUAAGCCAUUAUAAGCACCAAAAUUUCACUACACCCGAUCCAGCAUCAGCAACGUGCACCAGAAGCUUUUCCAAUUAAAUAUAAUUCAACCGAUAGAGGCAAAACACUCUAAUUAACAACUUAAUUACGUCUAAUAUCGUUACGAUAAAUUGAAACUUAAAUAUAAAAAUAAAUCAUGCAAAAAUUAACGUGGUCCACCGUGAACGGGGUCUAACCAGAUCCAAAAUAAUUUCAUCUCCUCUCUUUUUCUUCCCAACUCAAACAAAGAAGCUCUCUCAUACUCCUCUUAUGGCCAACCAUGGUUACCCCAUAGGGGGUUCACCCCAACUCGUCCAUAGGUGGCCGGCGACCACUCCGGCGACGGCGGCGGCGGUACAAUGAGGAGAGAGGAUAAGAUUGGGAGAUAAAAGAAGAAAGAAAAGAGAGAAAAAAAUGAGAAAACUAAUUAUUGGAGACUCACCUCGCUCUCGUUCUUUUUCCUCUCCCCCACGAUUGUCGGAUCUUGCUCCCGCCGGCGGCCACGCUUGCACAAAGAAUCCGGCAACAAUAUUUAUCAUUAUAAUAUUUUUGGCCGUACACCUUUCCUAAAUUACCUAUUUAUAGGUGAUUAAUUAGGGCUAAAUCUCAACCCUACUCUAACUAGUAUUAGAGUAUAAUUAAUCCGAAAAUCAAAUCCAACCGAAUCCGCUUAAUCCGACGGUACAAAUAAAUCAAAAAUAUUUAAUAACGGGUUUAUCACAAAACUACAAUCAUUGCCACAUAUUUAAAUUCUAAUUUAAAUUAAUUAGAUACGGGUAUUACACAUCAAGUGGGCGUAAAAAUGAACGGUUGAAAAUAAAUAUCCUCUAAAAAGUAAUGAUGAGAAUUUUGUAAUCAAGAUCGAGAGUAUAGAUCUUAUUCUAAAUAGUUUAAAGAAUUUUCUAACCAAAGUUCAAUUGAUUUGGAUAGCUUUAUACCGUUAAACGAGAAAACGCCUCAUAUCCACCAUUAAAACUACAAAUUUUGAAACUCUUUGAUCAUUAGGUCAAUGAUGUCGAAAAGACUUGAAAUUUGGUUUCUAGAUACUUCAAGUGGUAUAGAUCAUGUUCAACAGUGACGAUCGUCAAUUUAAAGGCUUUAUCAUAAAAAACAAAUGGAUGGCAACGAAGCCAGUUUGUUACCGAUAGCAUUCUAGCUCAACUCUCUCUCUCUCUCUCUCUCUCUCUCUCUCUAUAUAUAUAUAUAUAUAUAUAUAUAUAUGUAUAUAUAUUUCGAACUUUUCGAGCUUAAUUCGAGCGAGCCCGGUAAUACUCAAGAUCGGCUUGAAAUUAAUUUCGAGCUUAAAUUUAGGCUCAAGCUCGGCUUAAAAUUAAUUCGAGCCGAGAUCGAGGGAGUCGAAUAUCGAGCCGAACGCGAGUCGAAAAUUUACCAGCCCUAGGUCCCACUAGUGGUGAGUUUUUGACCAGUCAAUGAGUGGUCAAUGCAUAGGGAAGCGUGAUCUACGUUGUCAAAUCAAAUUGAAAUUGAAACUCCAAAUAUUGAAUAAAACAUUAAAUAAUUUGAGUAAGAAAUGGGGCAAACUUCAAAUACUAUCAUGUAGUUUCGCACUUUCUCAUUUUAGUAUUCUAUGGUUUAAAAUAUAUUAAUUUAGUAUCAUGUGGUCAUUUUUUUUCUUUUCGUCGUUAACAUUUCGUUAAAUUAUAUAUAAAAAAUUUUAUAUACCCUACCUAAGUUUAUCGAAUAUCCACUUUAAUACCUUUUAGUUUUAAAUUUGCCACUAAUUUAACGAAAAAAAUUAAUGGAAGGGUUUCGUUAAUGGAAGGGCCGACAAAGAGAGAAAAAUGAAAUUACAGGACACUAAAUUGAUAAACUUUAAACUAUAGGGUACUAAAGCGAGAAGUGCGAAAACCAGGGGUGAUAUUUGAAGUUUAGCAAAAAAAAAAAAAAGAAAAAACUUCAAAUACCACCCUUAUGGUUUNAUUAUUUUGGUUUUAAAAAAAUAAAGUUAAUUUCAAACAAGUCCUUACAAAUAUAGUGAAUGAUAAAUAUAUUCCUAAAAUGUUUAACUUUUAUAUAUUGUUCCUCCAAAAAUUCAGAUAUUUUUAAAUAUAUCUCUAUCAUUAGAAUUCGUUAAAAAAAUUUAGUUAACCAUAUGUUAAAUACUUUAACUCUUAGUUUUUUGACAUUUUUACCUUUCUUAUAUUAUACUGUUAUGGCUUUGGAAGGGGUAUAGUUGUAAUGAAAAAUUAAAAAUAUAAACAGUUUUCUAACAGUAACAAACCGGAAGGGACAUAUUUGAAAAGAUCAGUAUUUUUACAAGAACAAUAUAUGAAAAUUAAAUUUUAUAAAAAUAUAUUUGUUAUUCACUAUAUUUAUAAAAGUUUGUAUAAAAUUAAUCUAAAAAAAUAACACUCCCUAACCUUUAACUUAUUUGAAAUUGAGUCCUUUUUUUUUUUAAUUAGAUUUACACUUGUGUUACUUAUUAACUCUUAGAAUUAACUUCUUUUAUUAUCAAUUUUAGAGUUUUUGUCAGAAUCAAGCGCAGCCUACUAUAAUGAAUGUUAUUUUUUUAGAUUAAUUUUAUACAAACUUUUAUAAAUAUAGUGAAUAACAAAUAUAUUUUUAUAAAAUUUAAUUUUCAUAUAUUGUUCUUGUAAAAAUACUGAUCUUUUCAAAUAUGUCCCUUCCGGUUUGUUACUGUUAGAAAACUGUUUAUAUUUUUAAUUUUUCAUUACAACUAUACCCCUUCCAAAGCCAUAACAGUAUAAUAUAAGAAAGGUAAAAAUGUCAAAAAACUAAGAGUUAAAGUAUUUAACAUAUGGUUAACUAAAUUUUUUUAACGAAUUCUAAUGAUAGAGAUAUAUUUAAAAAUAUCUGAAUUUUUGGAGGAACAAUAUAUAAAAGUUAAACAUUUUAGGAAUAUAUUUAUCAUUCACUAUAUUUGUAAGGACUUGUUUGAAAUUAACUUUAUUUUUUUAAAACCAAAAUAAUAUCUGAUCACGUACAUCUCUUGUAGAUAUUUAAUUUUAACAGAAUUUUUAAAAUUAUUGAUAAAAGGCGCUAAAUCAAACGGUUAGUAAAUAGUAGGAUUAUAAAGUAAGAGCUUAAUUACACUCUAAUAAACUGUACUUUAGUAUUAUUAUUAUAUUUUAUCAAUCGCUAUAUUGUCUUUUUAGAUUUAUUUUAAUUUUUCUAUCCCGCACUUAUUCUUUUAUAGAUAUCACUAGAUUAAUUUUUUUCUCGCCAAUUUUUAUAAUAUUGCGAACAAAUCUAUUAUUUUUUCAAAAUUUAACCAUUUUAUUAAGAGAUACUGAUUAAAUAGUAAAAAAAUAUAAAAUAAAUCUCCAUGAUACGUUCAUUAAAAGUUUCUAUCAAAUUAUUUUUAAUUACUUUUAUAUAAAAUU
rnacentral:lncRNA from 1 species